rnacentral:tRNA from 1 species
GGCAGCGUGGCUCAGUAGAAAGAACAUGGGCUUGGGAGUCAGAGGUCAUGGGUUCGAGUCCCAGCUCUGCCA